CAGUAGGCAAGACAAUCACAACAUAUGAUAAGCCUGUCAAAGCCCUGCACCAAAUCAUGGAGUAGGUCGACUGUGGUUUUCACUUUUACUGCUAGUAAAACUGACGGCACGUAAUUCGACUGUCUAGCCAAUAACUGGUAGGCCUACAUUGCUUGAUCUUCAGGUCAUACUAGUUGUAGGUUUUACAGUGAUACUGGUGUAUUGACACACUUCUUUAUUUAUUAUUUAGAAAGACAGGAGAAGGUCAAGACUCAAGAGCUGGACUUUCCAUGACGUCCUCACUCGACCCCUGUGAAUAGCAGCCCACCGUUGACCAGCCAUCAGUAUCUACUGUGCAGUCAUUUCCUGACCCGGUUUCUCACUAGCCCUUCGCAGACGAACACUACCACCUGAAGACGGUCGUCUGGAUAAUACUUCGGUUUGGCACCGGCAUGGUCUACCACAAAGAUAGACGCCAGACCUUCUGAAAGGACCUAAUGGACUGAGUGCUGGAAAGGAGACAACCCCUCUAUAGAAUAAACUGAGUGUAACAAACACUCCACCAAGAACAGACAUGUAUGUUUCAGUGUCAUGACGGAGCAAUCAUUUCGGAAGGUCCUAAACCCUAUUUAUCUAAAAUACUUUCUGAUGUUUGAUAGUGACAUCUUGGUUACCCAAUAAGACAUUUCUUACAUUAUUACAAGAUUCUUCACUUCUUCCUACAUUGUUAAUGACUGAAUGAUUACAAUUAUGAUGUACACAUUGUUAUUGGUCACACCUGCUGACAUUAAAGUCCCAGUAAAAUCUUCUCUCUUUUCCUUUAUGUAAAGAAGGUAAAGUAAUGACACUUGAGGCAGUAAUGACAAAUG